rnacentral:lncRNA from 1 species
UUGCCCAUUUCUUAUGUGUUUAAAGACUAAUUAUAAGAAUAAAGAUUUAGUGAUCAAUGCAGAAUUCUAAUUUAAUUGUUGAGUAUUAGAAUGCAUUUUCUCCCCCUCUUCUAACUUAGAAACUGAAUUUUUUUUUUUUUUCAUUUUUUUCCUACCUGGCAAAAGCUAAUUUAAUCCAACUGGAUUGCACAUUCGAAAUGUACAGAAUUUUGGUCCGAUUUACCGAGUAUCACUCCCUGGAUAUAGCUCAAUUUUCCCUCACAGGACUGACAGAUGCCUAAAUGCAAGAGAUUGUUCUUGUCAAGGGAGGCACUGACACAAAUUCAGUUGUGUGGGUUGUUGGCUCUGUCUGAUGUUGUCCCUUCUAAUGCUACAGAACAAAUCACCUUGCACAAGGCUGAACAUUCUGCUGAAUGUUGUAACCUCUCGGGCAUUAUGAAGCUACGUUCAGUCGUGAAUGCUUGUGAUAUUUUGAAGGACUGCAGUACAGUGCAGUGUAUGAUUACCUGUACUUCAUGAUAUGAUAUUUCAUUGAAACUUUUCCAAAUUCAUGAAAAAACGCUGCUUUUCUAUUCCAAUAAUAAUCCAAGUAUAGACUGCUAAAACAAGAAGUGAAAAUGUAAGUACUAACAUUUUUGCAUCUAUUCCAUUU